AUAUUACAAGGAAUGAUCUAAAACUAAAUAUCUAUUUUCCUAAAAAACUAUCUUAUUACUAAGAUCUUCUCCGGAUCUUCUUCUUUUCUUCCAACCUGCAUAACAAAAACACUAAGAAAGAGAGAAUGGGUUAGGAGUAGAAAUGUAGCAUUUCACUUGGUGAAAUGCAAUGUUGUAGGAGCCAGUACUUGAGAUCAAGAUAAUCUUAAAUUAGUGUAAAGUUAUUAC